GGGUCAGUAGGUUGGUCGUGCCACCGGUACGUACUGGUCUCACUGAUUCCUCCUUCCUGAAGAACCGUAAUGCCAUUAAUUUGGUGUUGCGGGGAAACAGGACUGCUACAUUGAAAAAAUUAGAGUGUUUAAAGCAAGCUAACGCUUGAAUACAUUAGCAUGGAAUAAUGAAAUAGGACGAUCGAUCCUAUUUUGUUGGUUUCUAGGAUUGACGUA
rnacentral:rRNA from 1 species